UAAGUAUCUCCACAAAUGCUUAAUAUUAAACGCAGCAAUUCAAGAAAAAGAAUAUGGAAGACAACAUGACACCCCCAAAAGAAGACAACACCUCAAUACUGGAAUGUGGAGAUCUUGGCACAAGGAAAGAGUUGUUGGAACCCAAGAGGCACAGGCAAUCAAAGCCAAAAUUGACAAAUGGGAUUACAUAAAAUUUAGAAGUUUCUGUACUGCAACAGAAACACUCAGCAACAUGAAGAGGCAACAUACAGAAUGAGAGACGUUAUUUGCAAACUACGCAACUGAUAAAGGAUUAAUAACUAGAAUACAAAAGAGAUCAAGAAACGAAACAACAUCAAAACAAACAACCAGUUAAGAAAUGGGCAAAGGAUCUAAAGAGACAUUUUACAAAAGAGGAAAUCCAAAUGGCCACAAGAAAAAAACGCUCAGGAUCACUAGCAAUCAGCUGAAUUCACAAUAGCUAAGAUAUGGAAUCAACCCAAAUGUUUGCCAACUGAAGACUGGAUAAAGAAGUUAUGUGAUACGUACACCGUGGAAUACUACACAGUGAUAAAAAAAAUGGUGUUUGCAACAAAAUAGAUGAAACUAGAAAACAUCAUACUUAGUGAAAUAAGCCAGUCCCAAAAGGAUAAAUACUCUUUGUUCUCCUCAUCUGUGAUAACUAAUAAAGCAUCUAAAAGAUAA